UCUUAGUUGGGUUCUUAACCUGCUAAGCCACAAUGGGAGCUCCCUCACUGUCGUCUUAAUGCAGUCUUGGCCUUCCUGCCAAGAUUUAAGAUCUAGACCUGACCCAGAUUGUCCACACAGGCUCCAAAAUCCAAAGUGAAUUCAAAUCCUCUCCUCCGUUUACCUGAUGUAUAUGCCUUCGGGAAACGUACACUGUCUGGCCUCUGUUUAUAAAAGAUAGCCACAUUUGGGCCCUUCCGAAGAAGUACUAGAGUGUUAUACAUCCUGAUACUAACAGCAAUUCUGUCCUUACGAAGUUGUCAACUUUUCAUAUUUCUCAGCCGUCCUGAUUCUAAUUAAGGGAAAGACAACCUGUACUCACGAAAUUCCACCUGCACCCUCAGCCGCAAGUCAGCUAUUUUCAAGGUCUCUGUGAUAGUCUCGGGUUUGCGAGCCUGCACGUACGAUGAAACGACAAUGUAGUGACAUACACGGUCACCCAAGGGGCUGGCUAGCUGUCUCAUGGAGCAGCGAGCUGGGGGGUGAGGAGAAGUGGGUGGAGGUGAGGAAGGAAGGCUCGAGUGCCCUUUUUUGGAAGCCCUUUUGUUGGAAGCCCUUUUUUGGACACAUGGGGGAAGGGCUAGAGUCUAAACGCUGGCUGCCUCAUAGCAUCUGAAUCCAAGCCAGAGUUUACAUCUCAUCUCUGCCACUGUCUGGAUGUGUAUCGGAGCAAGUCACUUAGCUCCUUGAGUCAUGGUCUCCUCCUCAUCAAAUGGGUGGGUGGUGGAGGGAGGGGUGCCCUUCUUAAGGGCUGCUGGGAUGACUAGUUGUGCCAUGUGUAAAGCACUUAGCUCAGGGCUUGCUCUCAAGAAAUGUGCUAGUGUCAUGAUGACUUUGGACUGAGCUCUAAAUAAUGUAUAAAGCAGCCUAAAGUACUGCACAUUUGCCUAAGGUCAUGCCUAUCAAACACCAAGAAGGGGCUAGGCCUUGUCUUACAGGCAUUGCCCUUUACCUUCAAGGAGCUGGAGCAUCCCUGGGGAGUCACAGCUAAGCAGGUACCACUGGACAGCAUGACGAGGGGUGUAGCAGGUGUAAAAAUGCAGGAAGUCCUCCCUUGAUAUCUCCGGGGACCAAAACAUCUAGAAGCCCACGAAUAAGAAAAGAGUUUAUUUGGGGUCUUCUAAACUGCAUUUUGGAAGACACAGCUUCAGGUAAAGCCAAAAGAGUGUCCAGGGAAGAGAAAGAGUCAGGGGCUUAUAAAGGCAAAAGCCACGAGGCUAUACUCUGACCUAAGAAAAGAAAUAUUUGUCCUUAGGGGACAGGCUCUCACCAGGUGUUUUAGAGUAAGGGUCUGUGACCAUCUUGAGUUUGUGGCAGUUUUUCUGGAUGCCUGUGCGAGGACGAUGAUGUGAUCAAAAGGUCAAACUCUGUCUGGGCCACGUGUGUGCCAGUCGUGCUUCCUCAGUGGCCUCCCAGCCCCACUUAGAGAGUUCUGUUAGCAAUAGCAGUGCCAUGUUGAUUUUCUUCUCACAGCUCCAGGACCCCUUUGGAGAUACCAGAAUCCGUAGACCCUCAAGUCCCAAAUAGAAAAUAGCAUAGAACAGUCAGCCCUCUGCAUCCGCAGGACCAGGUGCCCUACUCUGGAAACAGGUGCUUUCUCUUCCAACCAGCAUUUUCUGUGCACAUGCCAGGUGCCGACACUGUUCUGAGCGCUGAAGGAUCCAAAAUGAAUAUGAUCCUUGGUUGAAAUAGUUUAUAGUCUAGAAGGAAAUGACAGCCACCAAUCACACUACCCGUGAGCGCAGGAAGGGCGCGGUCACAGGCACCUGAUGAGAGGAGGGGCUUCAGGAGAUGAACCUGAGCUGAGUCCUGAUGCAGGUGAUGCCCUGGCAGAAUUGAGAGCCCCGUGGGGAAGGGCCAUGUAAGCAGCACGGAGGCCUGCGGGGCCCGUGAUGUGACUGGAGGAUGAAGGCAGGGACGAAUCAAGAGCCAUCCAAAAGGACAGGAGGUCAGGACAGAGCAUCAGCUUGCAGGUGCCCUGGAGGUUCUGUCCCCAACUCCAAAGGGCUCUUUGGUUUUAUCCUUCAGGUGGUGAGACACAGGAAGGGAUUUAAGCCUAUCCUCAGUUACAUUCCAAGCCUGGAUCAUCUCACAGAGGCGGUCUGAGAUCUUCAAAUCCUUGUAAAAAGGGAAAAAAACCACCAUCUGGUCUUGAAGAAAACCAAAGGCUGCAAAGAGACGCCAAGCGUGGGCAGACUAACAAUGCCCAGAGCGAACUUGGCCGGGGGCAAUGAGACUCAUAAACACUAAUGUGUUGCUUUAACUUGUCCUUGGCAUCAGGAGACCUCAGGGAAACCGCCCAGCCGGCUCAUUCUCCUUUGUCCCUGCCUCUUCCUCUUCUUUCUCACCCUGGCCUCUUCCUUUGCUCUGCUACCAUUUUUUUAAUAGACCAGCCGAUGGUGGGAAAUGUGCUCUGUUUAGAGCCUGGAAAGUCAGGAAGGAAACCACUGGAUUAAACUGAACUCUGAGUGUCAUGCUCACGGCAACCCGCCCCGCUCCGCCCCGGCCGCUCCGAGUUUAGGGGGGCUCAUGCGGAGCCCGUGUCGGUUUCAGGGCACAGCAGGACGUCCACGUCGCGCCUGCCCACCCUCCCCGAAGCCGGCUCGGGCCCAGCCCCGGCCGCGGCCUGAGUCACAUGCGCUGGAUGGUCCAGACCCGGGAGGCGGAGGAGGAUGUGGUGCCACGCAGCCAAGUGUCCCCGUCUGACCUCUUGCUCUUUUUCUGUCCCCAGGGAUAGGUGGAGCUUUCCUGCCCACAGAACUGAACUUCCGUUUCCCUUCCUUCCCAAGGCUGCCCUCCUGCCCAGCCCCGGGGAGAACGCGACGGAGUGUCUCGGGCCUCAGUCUACAGCAUCCUUUUUUCUCAAAACCUAGGGCUUUGACGGGCCACCGGGACACUGCAGGUUGAAAGGCUAGCGGCGUCCCCUCCUCUGCUGGCACCUUGUGUAUUUGUGUAUUGGCGCAUCCCGCCUCCCUCCGGGUGAGGCUCAGGCCCUGGCAGGACCCUGUGAGCCUGCCCCGCUGGGAGCAUCUCUGCAACCCAAGCUCACCCUGGCCAGACCUGGGAGCCCCUGCUGCUCUUCCAACCGCUUGCAGACCCAGAGGAAGCCCCGCCCCUCCGGCGUGACUCCGCCCCCACAGCGACACCGUCCAGAGGGACCAGGGGACACAACCUGGAGAUGAGGGGAGGUCAUGGCUGCGGAGCUCCCUGGAAGCACAGAGGGAAAGGAGACCCAAGCGCCUGCUCUGGGUCGUCCCCGGGCUCCGCUGUUCCGCAGGUCCUGCCAGGCUGUCCCUGUCACCAAGAACCCCGCGGUGUUUUUCCCGAAGCCGUGACUCUCUGAACAAGUGACAUGCUUUCCUUUCCCUUCCUUUUCAUAGCACCUUCCAGAAGCACUAGCAGGUAAGCGCUGCCCACGACAGUUUGACCAACAGUGUCCCGCUGGCCUCAGAGUAACACUGACCCAUUCAUUUGGUUGGUUAUUCCCCGCUGGCCUGGGCAGGUUUAUAAUGACCUCUCUGUCUAAAGCCCCCAAAGAAAACCAUUCCUCAAUCCUACCUCGGAGGAGAGCACCUUCAGAUCUGCAGAUCCCCGCGAAACGUUUCAUCAGAAGGCGAGCCAUCGCCGCACGACCACCGAGAGGAAAGAAGUUCCCACUGGGACUCGGCAGCAUUCGGAGUUCCCGGGCUUAACCGACACGGCUGGGCAGGCAUCAAAUCUGCAUCCCAGAGCUCCAGAGAGGCCACCAAUCCUGUUGCACCACAGUAGGAACUCCACUAGCCUUCAAUUUCUAAAGUGACCUGGCCCUGCCGUCUCAGCACUUAAACCACACCGAACUAGGAAGAAUGAACAAGUAACUUAAAGGGCUGUUUGGAGAGGGGCGAUGUGGUGUCACGGAAAAGCCACAGGACAUGGAAGCAACUGACCUGCAGUGAUGGCUUGAUAAGUGUCAUUGUGGUGACCCCGAACGGCAUUUGCCAGAGUUCCCUUCGCUGCACAAAAGUGGCCAAGGGAGAUCUUCCUGCGUGAGAUUUGAAGGGAGGAGUGAAGAAAUAGCCAUUGUGCACCUCACACGUGCUAGGGCUAAUCUCCUGACAGACCUCAUUGGCUCCAAACAGGUGUCUUUCGUUGCUGCUCGGCCUCUCCCACGCAUCCAGUGUGAGAGCCCUGCAGCUGCCCACCCACCGCCCGAGCCCAUUCCAAACAUUCUAGCUAAAAUCGCUUGCAUUCUUAGCUGACAGCUAAAUAAACGAACCCCAUUCCUGUCGGUGACCUCCCUCCCAUCCCAGGUAAAAUACCAGCAGUUUCUCAGGGGCUUUGAGAGACGGGGCUCACACCAAGGAUGGGAGCAGGGCUGGGAGGCACCAGACCAGGCUGGGAGGGGAGGUGUGUUUGCGGUGGGGAGGGGUGUUCCCCUCCAAACCACACCGGAACUGGGGUUUUACACUCCAUGUGGAUUCGCAAGCAAGGUGACUAUUUAUGAGAGACAAUAAAUGCUUCCCAGAAGGCCCCACUGUUUAAAUUCUUUUCCAGUUUAGGGACUUGUGGGAAUGGGGAGCAAUUCGGACAAGGAAGCCUCUCCCCACUUCCUGCCCUUCUACCCUCUGCUCCAUCUGCGCCCUCCUCCCCCUUCUUCCCACCCCUCCCCCUUUCAUCCUGCCGUGUUCUCCAUCUAUCUUGCCAAAACAAAACAAAACAAAACAAAAAAAUGAACAAAGGAGUAUGAGCUACCCUAGGACAGCCUGACACAGAAAAGAUGUCUUUUCAAAAUCUCAGAAUGUCAGGAUGAACUCAUUAAGGAAGAAGAGAACGAUGGGCCAUGUCAGCUGUUCCACAGUCAGUCUCUGUGGAAAAAACGCUGAACACUUGACUCAUCCACUGAUGAUUUGGGACAGUGAACCAGAGGAGGAAGAAGAGAGAAAGAAGAAAGGAAUAAACAAGUGGUUUCUUUUCGUCCGUAGGUUUCUGAUUCAGGUGCCAAAGCUCAUGAAUCUUGGGAUGGAGUCAGCUGCAGUCGCGGGUGAGGCUCUGAAUGAAGAGAAAAAGCAGACUUGGCCUCAUCACAUUCCUGCUCUAAUGGAUGCUGAGAAGUGGACGCUGCACAGCCUCCCCCGAGUUUCCUGGUACUGCCGCUAUCAUUGCAAAAUCCUGGCUUCUUCAAAGGAUCAUCUCUUGCCGCUGCCAGAGAAAGCGAAUCCAAGGUCACUUACUUCCACCUAAAGAGAAUAGUUUGUCAGCUGCCAAAAUUCAUUUUUCUAAUGUGCUCUUACCCAAUGCCUUGAGCCUGGCGAGCUGGGCGGAGUCCAGCCCGGCUAAUUCCAUCUUCCCAACCAGAUUCCCCUGAGGAGUUUGAAAUGGACACGAUCGGAUCCUUCCCCUCCUCCGCGCGCCUCUUUAUCAAUCAAACUAAUGCUUUUUCAUUUCCAAAGCAUGAUGGGAAUAUGGGCCGGAACGUCUAAAACAGGAUUCUUCUGAAGACUUGCGUGAGGAGAGCUUCCCUUGUAUGAAUUCGGUCAAGUUCUUGGGAAUCAAGUCUGGCUUCAUUUAUGCAACAGUCACUGAAGUCCAUGCCGGGGGCUGCUCUCAACAUGGCAGGUGCAGCAGGGCACAGGAAGGGGUUUCUCCCCUCAGGAAGGAAAUGUCAGAAUAGGUAUUUGAGAUGAGGUUGGAGUGAGAGACAAGAAUCAAACCAUUUAAACAUGCUCUGGAGUUUGGAUAGUAUCAUAGGGACAGUUGGUGGAGCGAUGUGAUCAGAUGUGGGGGUUUAAUGAGAUCUCACCGUGAUCAGAUGUGGGGUUUAAUAAGAUCGCACCGUGAGGGAGAGGAGCUAUUACACAGGACACCUGUGGGCCAGGGUCCUCGUCUCUCUUUUCCACUGGAAUUGAAGUCUUUGGGGAUCAACACAACAGGAGCCAUAGUCUCCUCUCUCCGGCCUUCAGAUAGCAUUGAACCUGGGUUAGCUCAAAGGAUCAAGGAGGCUAAGCCAUGGUUUGGCCGCGUGGGCCGUCAGCAUCGACUCUUCCGUGACAAAUGUUGCUUCUCUCUUUCUCUCCAUGUCUGGCUCCACUUCCCAGGCUGCCUGUGGCCCUGGGGACACCAGACAAAAGAAGGUAAGUGCAGAAGCAUCAGCGCCUCGGCGCUGUUCCAAGAGCUGGCCUUGCUCUGCUGAAGCAGGUUCAGGGACAAAGUCAAGGAGAAGAAGCCCCUAACCGUCUGUGCGGGUGGUGGAACGUGACGUUCUUGGAAGACCACUACCAUCGAAAAGAAUCAUUUAAACCUCUGUUGACUGCCCACCCUGUGAACAAUGAUAAAUCUAAAUGAGAAAGUCAUAGAAUUGGGGGCCAUUAAAGGGGGCAUUAGUCGUGGACUCCAACCUCCCACCCACUGUAGAGCCUUCGGCAGCAGCCCCGAGGGGGCGUCCUGCAGGGUUCCACAUCCCUCCUCUGUCAGAUGGGGGCCCGAGGCGUGGCAAUGUCCCUCCUCAUUGUUCUUCUGGCCGGGGAGGGUCAUUGAUGGGGGUACCUACGGCCCGGAGUCACGGUCUGAAGGGCCAAAGGGCAGGUGAGAAAGUCACACUGUGAAGAGGGGCCGUGGUCACAAUCUGAAAACACCAAAUAAAACUGCUCACGGGAGCAAGAGGAAGAAGGACGCAGAGCCACACAGGAGAUACGCGGGAUGCGAUGGAGGUGGGAGAAAGAGGAGGUGGGCUGGGGUGAGCUGGUCCGGAGAAAUUCCCACGUGUGUUUGGGGCAGUUCUCAUGAUGGAAUUUUCCCUUUGUUUUUUUUUUUUUUAGAGCCACACCCUCGGCAUAUGGAGGUUCCCAGGCUAGGGAUCAAAUCAGAGCUGCAGCUACUGGCUGAGGCCACAGCCACAGCAAUGCCAGAUCCAAACUCUGCCUGCGAUCUACACCACAGCUCGUGGCAACACCGGAUCACCAACCCCCUGAGGGAAGCCAGGGCUCGAACCCACAUCCUCAUGGAUACAGUCAGGCUCGUUUCUGCUGCGCCACACAACAGGAACUCCCUCUCAUGAUGGAAUGCUCAAUACGAUGCUCACACAAAUAUUUGUGAUUGUGUCAAGUACUUUCAGAAGGACUGGCAGGACAUCUGCGUCCUACUUCUGCUAAUGGUCACUGCCUCACUUGGAAGCCCAUUUCGUCAGUGGGAAGGGCUACUCAUCAGAACAGUCUCUGUAUCCGCUGCCUUCUGGCCAUAGGUCUGUUCUCGCAGGACCCGCGAGCGCACCUAGUCCGUUUCUUCAUGAUAGUCCUUCACAUAACAGCAGCCCCCGCGACCCCUUCCAACUUCCUGCCCCAGAUUCUUUCAGCUGUUCUAGGAGGACACCAUUCCAGAAAGUGCCAAACUGCCAAGUUGAAGAGGACUUCGGAAACUCCGAUCCGGCUCUCCUCCUUGACCCAGGAAGAAGGCGAGGCUCAGAGAAGUGAAAUGCAGCUGGUGGGGAGUGGGUUUUUCCCAGUAUCAUCCGACGUGGUAGAACUUGACCCCAGAUCUCCCAAGUCCACGUUCAGUGCUUUCCCCGUAUUUUUGACAUCCCAUUUGCCUUCCUCUAACCUCGUUCCAGCUUCUUAGAUGUCCUCUUCAAAUGUAGCGCCUGAAGCUGAAUGCCGCCUGCAGAUGUGGUCCAGCAGCCAAGAGAAUGAGGAAUUGUGCGGCUCUUUAUUCUAAAUUCUGCCCCUCCGUUAAUGCUGCUAGGAUGACUUUAGAGUUCUUUGGCAGGUACUGAUGAUUCAUCUUGAGCACAUGGUUCAUUAAAACCAUUUGAAUUUUCUUUUGAACUUGAAAUGUGUCAAACCAGGUAUUUUCUACCUUGUACUAGAAUGGUUCUUUUUAAAUUUAAUCGAGGACUAGGAUUUUAUAUUGAACCGUCCACAAGAUCUUUGGGUUCGUUUGGGUGUACCCUUCUACUCGGUUGAGAUAUUUUUGCGUGUUAACUCUCCUCUCGGGCAUGUACCUAACCACUCGUGUGUAACAAGAUAUAAACUCAGUCACAUACUGUGGCAAAGACAAUUCUCACCGAAUGUGCCACAUACUCCCCUGCUUUUCCCAGCCUCUUGUGUAAUUGUUCCUAAGUCAACAGACUGUGAAUGAAGCUGGUGUCACUUAAGAGCCAGUCAUUUAAGGGCCAGUAUGAUUUGCUUUAUUCUUUCAUUCCCCUGAUGCAGAGACCUUGCCAGCCACACGUUCCAGACGACAUGACUGCAGGGGGAAUUUACAUGAAUUCUGCCGAGGUCUCUAUAUCCAGCUACAGAUUCAGUUUAUCACCUAAAGACACUAUAAAAGACAGAAUUAAAUGCCAUUUUCAAAUCCACACACCCUGAGUCCCAAGGACCACAGGAGUCCACUGCAGGUUGUUCAGCAUGGGUGUGACAGAAACAGAUUUGAACUUUAGCGGUGCAUCUGAUGGCGAGGGAACUGGAGGGAACUAAGACUGGAAGCAGGAAAACAGCUUUGAGGCCAGCUCGUUGUGGGCAUCUAGAAAGGGUGUUAUGAUUUUAGGAGUCGCUACCAGCUGACUAAAAGCAAAGUUCUAUCAUAAUCACUUCACUGCCCCCUUUUGCCCCUGCUGCUAGACCAGCGUAUCAAGGAAACGCCCACGCCCAGAGCCCUGAGCCUGGCUCUAGGUCCAUCCAUGUUGCUGCAAAUGGCAUUAUUUCAUGCUUUUGGUGGCUGUCUAAUAGUCCUUUGCUUAUGUGUCCACAUUUUCUUCAUCCAUUCUUCUGUGGAUGGACAUUUAGGUGGCUUCCCUGUCUUGGCCACGAAGCCUGCUCCCGCCCACUCCCCUUCGUCUGCCCGCUGGCCACUCGUACCUCUUUUGGUUUCCUUGGCUUUAAGAAUCUCUCCGACGCUGGCCUUUUGUACAAGCUCCUUCUUCUCUUUCAAAUACUUUCCUAUCCUGCGACCUUUUCCAGGCUAAACCCUCAAACCUUAAAUCUCAGUUUUUUUCAGGAAGGCCUCCCCUGAUCCCCUAAACCAAGUUAGAUCCCCUUUCAGCACGUUUGAUUCCUCGCAAUCUCUUCACACAAAAGCACAUUCUCUCUUUUCGAGGCCAACAAUUCCUUGAGGGCAAAACUCACGCCUGUGGUGCUUCUUCCCUGAGAACUUGGAACACAGUGAAGCAGGAGUUCAAACAACGUUCGCUGAAUAGGAUUCUCGCAUCAUUUGUUCUGAAAAUGUGUUAGAACUAAGUGGGAAGCCAGGUGGAUGGCAGAUUCUAGACUCUCCCCUUUUCGUCUUCAGCCACUCUCCAGGUUCUGGAUGUUCCCUCUCUCCUGGGGGGUCCUCAGAGAUGACCCACAGUGAUUCUUUUCGUUGUCUGGGGUCGUCAUUGCUUUGGGACCCCAGUCUACAAACUGCAGGCCAGCCCAAAGCUGCCUGUUUCUAGAAAUAAAGUCUCAUUAGAACACAGCCCCACCGCUUCAUUUCCAAAUUAUCAGUGGCUGUUUUCACACUACAGAAGCAGGUGAUUGCAACCAAGGCCGUACAGCCCACAAAGCCUAAAAUAUCACCUUUACGGAGGAGAACAUUGCCAACCCCUAGUUUAGGGCAGAUUUUUGAACCCACUUAAGACGGCGCUAUGAUUUCUCUCCGUCAACUCAUCUAUAUUUGGAUACGUCUCCUCUUCACCCAUCUUCGUCGUGCCUGUCUAAUUGGAAAUGUGUUCUUUCUAUUAAAGCGCCAAAUAGACGGCUGCCUACCGUCACCUGCUGACGUGUGUCUCCUGCCACGUGUCUCCUUCACAUUUGCUGGGUUUUAGACCAAACAUCAUUCAUUUAAACAAAAAUUAAUUUCUUGGGAUAGAACACGAUGGAAGGGAACAUGAGAAAAAGAAUGUGUAUAUACGUGUGACGGGGUCACUUUGCUGUACGGCAGAAAUUGGCGCAACAUUGUAAAUCCACUACACUUUAACAUAAA